CCGGCCACCCAUGCCGCCUAUGCGCGCCCCUCCCACACACUCCCGACCUACUCCCGGCGCACAUGCCACCACCCCUGCUCCUCCCUCCUCCAUGAGGGCGCGCCGCCGCCCUUGUUCUCCCUUCCCCCUGCUGGCAUGCGCACCGCCGCCCCUCUGGCCAUCGCCGGCAUCCCGCUCGAGCCCGUGGACCCGAGGAAGAUGGAGUCCAUGGAUGAUGGGAAGGAGCGGCGGCUGCCUCGUGGUGACCUCGAUGCUGCUACUGGUAUGUGUUGUGCAAUCUUCAGAUAUGAAAAAAAGAUAGUACAGAGAGGAGAGAGGAUUGCAGUUCAGACAGAUUGACUGGUAAGGUUCAGAGAUGUUGCUGAAUGGAAUACAUGACCGAAUGGAAUCUAUAAUUUGCAGCUAUAGCAUCCUAUAGUCCGGGAACCUAUAAUGUGCUCAAUAAAUCCAUGUUUAUACCUUCCAAGUUUCACUUGCAUGUUUCCCUUGUAUUUGAUGUUGUGGCUGGUAAGUGCUUGUCUCUUAUGGAGUAUAGGUUGCAGUGGAGUAAGUGAAAAGUGUGCAUGAUUGUAGGUUGAAACUUGCUAAUUAUGAUUGAGCAGAUGGAGCCUGAUGCCCGCGUCUAUACCUCCUAAGUCGGAGGCGGCGUACCAUGUGUCGACCGCCCUGAACCCUGGUCCUCAUGAUCACGUCAACCAACAGGGUCAACGACAAGGAUGCUUCUGAUGUAGUAGGACUAGAUGCGACACCUUUCCUGAAUUUUCUUAUGUAUGAUGCAUUUCAUAGUGUUUCUUCUAUCACGGUAACAAGAAUCUCUACCUACUUUAUUGGUGAAAUUGAGGUUGAAUACCAAUAUACGCACAUACAGCAGCAAUGGUUGAUGACAACAACAGCCUUGUAGCUUCAGGAGUGGAGCAUGAGGAGGGCUCUGUAUUGUGGCGGGGAAGGAGCAGAGGAAUUGUGCAUCCGGGAAUGGCACAAUAGCCAAUCCUAUUUAUUGCUCUACUGUCUGACAGGUGCCACAACGGCCUUGUAGCUUCAGGAGCGGAGCAUGGAGCAGGGCUCUGAGUCGUGGUGGGGCAUGUCGGAGGGCUCUGGGUUAUGGCAGGGAAGGAGCGGAGGAACUGUGCAUCCGGGGAUGGCGUGACCGCCGAUCAUAUCCGUCGCACUGGUGCUUGACAGGUCAAAUGAUCAGCAAGGCAUGUGACAGCAUCUUCAGGCCCAACUCUCACUCUGCUGUCUCCCAUUCAACGCACCCGUCGAUGCUAGGGGUGGAUGGUUCUUUGAUGUUGGCACAACUGGAGACAGCAAGAAGCAGAGGGAGGGAGGCUAUCAUGUUGAAGAAGACGCCGGCACCCUGACAGCGGAAAUGCGGUUUCCCGGAGCUAGCGGGAGGAGGCCGAUGGCUUCCUGUUGUAGUAACGCGAUGCUGAAGCAACAACGCACCAGCCUGCAAGGUGAUUAGCAGUCAGCAAACUAUUGGAAAGAUGAUGGUACCUCGUUUUUCUCAAGCUGUGAAGACAUGCACAAGAAUAGAUCCGUCGAUGAAGUAAACAACAUAUUUCAAGAUAUGAUGGUUGGUACUUCCAGGUUGGAGUGUAGCUUUCAGAUGAUUUUCUACCCUCGGGAUAUUUGAAGAUUGUUUGUUACCCAUCAAGUUCAGAAAAACCAAGGGUAUCAUAUGAAUUGGAUUACGUAGAAAACACAGAGAUAAAAGGGGUAUUUUAUCUACUAUCUCCACGAUGACACUGGUGGCCGUGCGCACGAUGAUGGCAUGGUGACGAUGAAUUGGGUUACGUAGAAGGUCGUCUUCCCGGCGCACCACGCGCUGGCCCCCGUCUCCAUCCGCGGCCGCACCAACAAGACAGUGUAGGGAAAAUGGAUAAAGUCUGCUAACUGGAACUGGAUAAUUGAUCCUUUAAAUGGAGAAAAAUCUCUCAAAGUUGCUGGGGGUUCAUGGAUCUAAAAUAAAGGUAUUUAUGUUUUGCGGUGUUUCUCUUUUGUAUUCCAUGUUACAACACUAUGCGUGUAAUUUAGUCAUAGUAUCUCAACUUUUCUCAGUUCAAAUACAAUAUUUUUUUUCCUUCGGAAAGAGCUCAAAAUACAAAGACUGACUUUUAUGCUAUUUCAUCACAGCCACUGACGAAGUUAAGUGCAGUGCAGGCAAAAUGGAUAUAGUCUGCCAAUUGGAACUGGAUAGUUGAUCCUUUAAAUGGCAAAAAAUUAAUCAAAGUUGCUAAGGUUCAGGGAUCUAAAAUAAAUGUAUUGAUGCUUUGUGGUGCUUCUCUUUUGAUUUCCAUGCUACAGCGCUAUGAGUAUAAUUUAGUCAUAGUAUCUAUCAACUUUUCUCAGUUCAAAUUCUUUUUCUUCCAAAAAGAGCUCAAAAUACAAAGAAUCAAUUUUCUUUGUUUAAACUUUACUGGUAUUGUCGUGUGUGUAUUAGAUCUGAAGUGUGUUCUCAAACAGUAUAAAGUAAUUUCAUGUUGCAACCAUUUGUAUUAAGCAUGGACUUCACAACCCACAUAGAGCUCCAGAGAGGUAUGUGUUGUUUUCUUGUACUAUGAAUUUAAGGCGGUUCUUGAGAGAAACAAGUUACCAUGGACCGGCGAGAUCAAGACAUGGCUCCGACAACAUCAACCCAAGCGGCGGCCGUGAUAGAGAGAGCGUUCGUGAGAGGGGAUGGAGUGGCGGCUGCACGUCUGUGUCGAGUCGACCAGUUGCAAGAGCGGAUGGGGCGGUGGCUGCGCAUAUGCGCUCGUGGAGGUGCCGGUAUGCACCCUGAUUUAUUUGAGCCUGGGAGGUGCCGGUAUGCACCCUGAUUUUUUUUGUAUGCAUAUCCCUGAAUUUUAUGUGUCGUGAUUUAAGUGUUGUUGUGUGUGUCAUUGUGUCCUAUAUAAUGAUUCUUAUUGACGCACCACUGCAACCCAGUUCGUUUAUCAAAUUGAUGCAAGAAACAAACUAAUACAUAGAGAGUACAAAUUUAUUACAAUAAUCUAUUAUGCCCUGCAGUACCUGUGCACCUUGCAAUAGGUAGAGAUGGAUAAAUUUUGUAGCUUUUUGUUCCCCUUCUUUUCCAUCGAAAUUAUGGAUUUGGAAGCUAUUCAUGCAGUGUUUCAAUUGCUUGCUAUAUUAUGGAUUUGCAAUGAGCACAAGCCUGCAACGUUGAAGGAAAAGCCGUUGUCGCUGAUGACAUGACACUGUGGCAUUGGCUGAGGUGAUGUCAUGUUGCGGCUGGAGCCAUCAUCGACCACGAUGUCGUGCUAGGAGAACAAGGGCAAAGGCGAGGACAUGUUGGUGUUGUUGGAAUAAGGUUUAUUGGGUCUUCCUCCUCCAGUAACAUAUUACACAAUGUAUUUAAGCUGAUUGAUUCUCUUUGGUAAAAAUGUCUCUCAUUUGCUUGAUGAAACUUUACCUUUGUAAAAUUAGCUGAGUUAUAUACAUCUAUGUGUGGUAUCUAUCUGGUUAUAUUAAACUGCAGUUCAUUCUUCUUGCUGGAAGGGGUGUCGUGAAAUAUGAUCUGGAUGCCAUUGAAGUUGUAUAUAUGUUGCUAUCCAUUGAUGGAGGGGCGAGCUGGGGCCGGUCCAGCAUUUGCACGUCAACAUUAUUAGAGCUACCAAAUAUGAUGUUUUGGAGAAUAUUUAUUUUGUGGUUCUGGGAAAGUUUGGAGACUGGCGUGUGAUAUUACUCAUAAAGCAAAGACACAAACAAUGUGGAAACAUACACUAUGGAUGACGUGCUUGCGGCCAUUGGGCUGUGGAAUCCAAGCACUUGUUCUUGCAUGUAUAUAUGGGUUGGGUUGUAGAAACCAUGGAGCUCAGUCUACUAUCUUUCCUUUCCAUGGAUACAUCCUGUUGUCUUGUAAAUCUUUCUCCGGGUAUUGAAAUUCAUAGUUGUUUCUAUGUAUCUUUCCUUGCCACUGGGAUUUAUAAGCUCACAAA